GACGGAGGGGGCAAGCGUUGUCCGGACUUACUGGGCGUAAAGGGCCCGUAGGCGGCCCAGUGCGUCGGUGCUGAAAGCGCCCCGCUUAACGGGGCGAGGCGUGCCGAUACGACUGGGCUCGAGGCAGGCAGAGGGUGGCGGAAUUCCGGGUGUAGUGGUGAAAUGCGUAGAGAUCCGGAGGAACGCCUGUGGCGCAAGCGGCCACCUGGGCCUGACCUGACGCUGAGGGGCGAAAGCGUGGGGAGCGAAC
rnacentral:rRNA from 1 species